rnacentral:misc_RNA from 1 species
CAAUCAUCGUCCCAACGGGUUCUGCCCGUCGGGGUCGGAUAUGGGUGUUGCCCUCCGGGGCUCGCCUCAAAUGUGUCGGUGGUCUCUGUGCGGGCCGUGGUCUUGCGUGAUAUGUAUCGCUCGACUGUGGUCCGUUCGACCUCCUCGAAACCGCCCUUGCGCAAGCUCGGGAUCAACUGU